rnacentral:rRNA from 1 species
GACGAACGCUGGCGGCGUGCUUAACACAUGCAAGUCGAACGGAAAGGCCCUGCUUUUGUGGGGUGCUCGAGUGGCGAACGGGUGAGUAACACGUGAGUAACCUGCCCUUGACUUUGGGAUAACUUCGGGAAACUGGGGCUAAUACCGGAUAGGAGCUCCUGCUGCAUGGUGGGGGUUGGAAAGUUUCGGCGGUUGGGGAUGGACUCGCGGCUUAUCAGCUUGUUGGUGGGGUAGGGGCUUACCAAGGCUUUGACGGGUAGCCGGCCUGAGAGGGUGACCGGCCACAUUGGGACUGAGAUACGGCCCAGACUCCUACGGGAGGCAGCAGUGGGGAAUAUUGCACAAUGGGCGGAAGCCUGAUGCAGCAACGCCGCGUGCGGGAUGACAGCCUUCGGGUUGUAAACCGCUUUCGCCUGUGACGAAGCGUGAGUGACGGUAAUGGGUAAAGAAGCACCGGCUAACUACGUG